AAAGAAAGCUCAUCAGGUCGUUUAAAGAUUGAAGACACAAGCUUUAUCCAGGCUGCUUAUCUAAACAUGAAAAUACAUGACAAUAAGAUGUAUGAUCCAAGGGUUAAAACAAAAGACUCAUAGACUCUUGCCAACAAUGGAUAUCAUAACAAGUCUAAGGUAAAAAAUCCUUUCUCAGCAGCAAAUUAAUAACAACUUAAACAGUUUAAUCUGAAACGAUGAUUAUGAUGGUGAAAAGGGUGACAAAGAAAAACAUUGAAAAUGAACCCAAAAAGGACAAAGUAAAAGAGUUACAUAGAGUUACUUACCUACCAAUGGACCCCUAAAGGCAGUGGAUAACAUUUUAAUCAACCAAGGAAAACCAUUUUUAAUCAACUGGAAUAUCAAGACAAAUGAGAGUCUCUGCUGAGCGCAAACCAGGAGGAGGACGAGGUGAAGGUGGAUGAGAGUUACAUUGACAAUUGCUUUUGCUUUUUCGCUCAUAAGACAUUAACAUUUCACCUUCAAAAGAAAUGGUCAACGAACAGUUAAACAAUCAAACGUAAUGGGAAUACAUUUUGUGUUUUUCCAAUUAUAUUGUUUUACUGGUACAAUUUUUUACUAGCUUCAACCUAUCAUUAUCAUGAGAUCAUUUAUUGCCAGCAAGCAAUUUUAUGUUACAAUUAACCGUUGUAAUUAUAUACAUAAUUUACAAUAUCGACUGCAAAUUGUUUCACCUUGACGAUAGAGAGAGAGAGAAAAAAAUGAUCUCAUGUUUAUAAGGGUCAAAUUGAAGCUUUCAGUAAAAAUCUGUACAAGUUGAGUUGCUUGGAGGUGUAUGAUUUCAAGCAAAAAUUGUCAACAAUAGCUUUACGAGGAAACGCUUUAUUAGAAGGAAAAAAAUGAUUAGUUUCAAUUUUGUUCAUUUUUUUCUGGUCAAACAUGGCUGAUCACUCAUUAUAGCUAUAAAUGAACAAUAACAUUAGCCAGCAUUAGUAAACAUUAGCCAAAACUAGCUAAUACUUUAUGUAACUGGUUAGGCUUUUGCUACAUUAAGCAACAUUAAAUGGCGUAAAAUCAUCAGCUAAAUUGUCAAUGUGAUGUGAAACCUUUAAAAGCUUCACAGAAAUGGAAACAAUCGCUAAAAUGAAAAGUCUAACCUUUUGAACCAGUUUCUCGAGCUGUUAACCCAUUUCCAUAUCAACUUACUCCAUUAGAUAAGGAUCAUAAUCCAAAAAUCACACUGAUCAGUUGACAGUCAAAACCCUGUUGCCCUGUUGAGCCUUUGUUAAUUGGAAACAUUUCCAACCAAGGAAAAUAAAUUGUUGAGAAAUUGAAAGAUCAUUAAGGUUAAAGUCAGAGGAGGAAAAAAUACUAAUGAGAAAAGAUGAUGAUUCAGGUGUUGUUUCUUGUGGUGACUCUGGAAAUGGCGAUAAUGAAAAUAAUUGCACUGGUUUCCAGCAUAAUGAAGGUUGCUGUUGACCAAAGGUUAAUGAGUCCCUUUGGAUACUGAAGAGAGUUCAAUUUAUUCAACCAAUUUGUUUGGGUCCAGUUUGCUCCAUCAUGAUUACUAUAACAAGUUAAUCAAUCAAAAUUGCCAUCAUAAGGACAGCGGCUACUUUUCACUGAUUGAAAAUGAUUACCAUUUAAUUUACAAAAAAAAUAGUUUCAUUUUUUCCCAAUCUUCAUCUGGUUCAAUCCAACAAUUGAUCAAGGGUAACAACAAACGAAACAAAUUAUUUGUUAUUUGUUUUGCCAAACAAAAUUGCCAUUUCCAUGAUAAAUUUUUCCUUUCCAUUUCAUUA